UACGAAGGGUGCUAGCGUUGUUCGGAAUUACUGGGCGUAAAGCGCGUGUAGGCGGUUUGGCAAGUUGGAAGUGAAAGCCUGGGGCUUAACCUCAGAAUUGCUUUCAAAACUGCCAAACUAGAGUAUGGUAGGGGAGAGUGGAAUUUCUAGUGUAGGGGUGAAAUCCGUAGAUAUUAGAAGGAACACCAGAGGCGAAGGCGACUCUCUGGACCAUUACUGACGCUAAGACGCGAAAGCGUGGGGAGCGAACAGGAUUAGAUACCCUGGUAGU
rnacentral:rRNA from 1 species